GGUGUUGUGGCGGAGUGGUUAACGCGAUUGACUAGAACCAGAAGCCUUCGGAAGGAGGCGGUUCAAUCAAUUUCCUUCGGGAGCACAUGUUCGAAUCAUGUCAACAUCG
rfam:Trichosporon asahii var. asahii CBS 8904 unplaced genomic scaffold scaffold00167, whole genome shotgun sequence.